rnacentral:tRNA from 1 species
GCCUGGGUGGUUCAGUCAGUUGAGCGCCCGACUUCAGCUCAGGUCAUGAUCUCACAGCUCGUGGGUUCGAGCCCCGCGUCAGGCU